rnacentral:tRNA from 1 species
UCGGGAUAGCUCAGCUGGUAAAGCAAAGGACUGA